AUCGCCCAGCUCUAGUUACUAGUAUUUUUUGUUUUUACCUUGUAUUAUUAUUUCCGACACCCCUUGAACACACUUUGAUUUUCCGUAGUUCAGUGAAUGCAACAAAAGCACGCUGCUGCAUUAGGCAAAACGGAGCAAGACACCCAAGAGCAAUUAAGAAGCUACACAAGGCCUUUAUGUGUUUUACUCUCGACCAAAACCAGGCAGAGCGUGUGUUUGUUUCUUGGGAACUCCGACUGGUUUUUUGUGAUCCUGGAUCUGAAGUGGUUCUGGAUAUGGAUGGCGAGCCAGACCCUGUGAAAACUCUUGGCGAAUCCAAAAGCAGUGUGGCCAGCUGUUCUGGAUGCAGGAGUAGAGCUACAGCCUGACUUACUUCGGAUCACAGGAUUUCAGAUAAGCAAGAGCAAAAACUGCUUACUUCAUACGGAUCGUUUCUCUGGAAACUAUUGAACUCACAAUAUCCUGUUCAUCAGGAGUCAGGUCUAAAGAGACUACUUAUUUUAUUUUAUUUUAUUUUGUUGUUAUUUUCAAAAGAGCGCUCUUCUCUGUCGAUCUUCGGUAUAAUUUUCUUGUUGUUUACAUUGGUUUAUUGCACCAUUGUAACAUUGUAAUAAACCUGCCGGCUGUUCAACACUCAAUUCUCUCAAAUUUAUUUUACUCCUCUCGAAUCUAGUCGAUAAGCUUAACCUUACUAUACUAAGCAGGUGUUACAGAUGCAAGACUUUACACCUUUAAAUGUUCAUUUGAGAUAUGACCAUUGCAAGUUCCUGUUUGUAUAGUUUAGCAAGACGCUUACUUCUGCUUUUCUGCAUACCUCAUAUACACAGUUUAAGUUCAUUGAAAGGUCGUAUGUCUAUGUACUGUAUGUUAUAGCUGGAAACACACACACACACACACACACACACACACAGGGACAGGCGUAUACAUUGCUCACACACACAUGCUUGCCUUAAAGCUGUCACGUGGUUAACUGAAUUAUGUGUAACCUCUGUUGUCAAUAAAAGAGUGAGGCGGACGCAGAGGAGUUGGAGUUGCUUGGACAGGCGAGUCGCAGCAAUG